CUUGGUCAUUUAGAGGAAGUAAAAGUUGUAACAAGGUUUCCGUAGGUGAACCUGCGGAAGGAUCAUUAACAAAUCCAAUAAUUGUGAGAGGGGGUAAAACCCUUUUUGCAAAUAUUAAACCCGCCGGUUCUUUUUUUAGGGCUGGUUGGCUAAAUAAAUGCGUGUUGUGUUGACAGUGUGUGUGUGAGUGACUUAAAUUUAUUGACAACUUUUAACAAUGGAUCUCUAGGCUCUUGCAACGAUGAAGAACGCAGCAAAGUGCGAAAAGUGAUGUGAUUUGCACGAAUCUGUGAGUCAUCUAAUAUUUGAACGCGAAUGGCACUGUUACGCAAGUAGCAGUAUGUCUGUUUGAGAAUCGCAAAACACGAUCAACUCUAGUUAAGAGUUGGGAUUGACCUUAUGUGCAGCGAUGCGUAUUUGGUUUGAAUAAAUCGAGUUGAUGAGCUUCCCAGCGCUGCUCAAUGUGUGCUAGCGAGACAGUCGUCCCGAUCUCACAUUCCGGCAGUGUUGCAGAGUUCUAUUAAACAACUUGCAAAUACUUUAUCAAUUACGAUCUCAAAUCAGGCAAGAUUACCCGCUGAACUUAAGCAUAUCAAUAAGCGGAGGA
rnacentral:rRNA from 1 species